UACAGAGGUCCCAAGCGUUGUUCGGAUUCACUGGGCGUAAAGAGCGUGUAGGCGGCUGGGUAGGUCCGCUGUGAAAACUCGAGGCUUAACCUCGAGACGUCGGUGGAAACCAUCCAGCUAGAGUCCGGAAGAGGAGAGUGGAAUUCCUGGUGUAGCGGUGAAAUGCGCAGAUAUCAGGAAGAACACCCGUGGCGAAAGCGACUCUCUGGGACGGUACUGACGCUGAGACGCGAAAGCGUGGGGAGCGAACAGG
rnacentral:rRNA from 1 species